GUGGGCUGUGCAGGACGUCUGUAUUUGUCCCGAUGGGAGGCGCUGGAGCUGCGCGCUCUAGCCUUUCCGCUAUUGUCACCAGAGGCUGGAGCGCCUGCGCCUGCUGUUGUGCUCUGCAAUUCCCAGCCCAGUUCUCUGCCUCUUCUCCAGACUGCUUCCUAAGCUCUCCCUCCCUCCUUGUAACUAGAACCGAGGAGGAAACAAACUUGGGCAUGGAUGAAGUUAGAGUUUUGGUGAGAGGAAAGUGGUUGUCUACCGCGGCCACCUUUGAGCUCCAGGUGGUUGCUUGGCCUGAGUUCCUUCCGCUGGCUGGGAUGAGAAAUGUAGUAUUGACUCCGUCUGGCGCUUGCCAUGGGAACCUUACCCAGCCAUAUUGGAGCGAAGAGCAAACUCAGCGGCCCUUGACUAUUAGAUAA
rnacentral:lncRNA from 1 species